UAAUAAGUGUUUUAUGCACUUUUUAAAUCCAUAUCCACCUUGUGUGCAAUGUCAGUCGAUCUUCUUCAUGGAGAUCGACCAAACAUCAACCUUUAUUUUUUAACUCUUUGUCUGAAAAAUAUUAUGAAUAAACAAUUCAAAAUA
rnacentral:misc_RNA from 1 species